CCUACGGGUGGCUGCAGUGGGGAAUAUUGGACAAUGGGCGAAAGCCUGAUCCAGCCAUGCCGCGUGUGUGAAGAAGGCCUUCGGGUUGUAAAGCACUUUCAGUGGGGAAGAAAGCCUUGGGGCUAAUACCCUCGAGGAAGGACAUCACCCACAGAAGAAGCACCGGCUAACUCCGUGCCAGCAGCCGCGGUAAUACGGAGGGUGCGAGCGUUAAUCGGAAUUACUGGGCGUAAAGCGCGCGUAGGCGGUCUGAUAAGCCGGUUGUGAAAGCCCCGGGCUCAACCUGGGAACGGCAUCCGAAACUGUCAGGCUAGAGUGCAGGAGAGGAAGGUAGAAUUCCCGGUGUAGCGGUGAAAUGCGUAGAGAUCGGGAGGAAUACCAGUGGCGAAGGCGGCCUUCUGGACUGACACUGACGCUGAGGUGCGAAAGCGUGGGUAGCAAACAGGAUUAGAUACCCCAGUAGUC
rnacentral:rRNA from 1 species